UACGUAGGUGGCAAGCGUUGUCCGGAAUUACUGGGUGUAAAGGGCGUGUAGGCGGGAAUGUAAGUCAGAUGUGAAAUCCCAGAGCUUAACUCUGGAGCUGCAUCUGAAACUAUGUUUCUUGAGUGUCGGAGAGGAAAGCGGAAUUCCUAGUGUAGCGGUGAAAUGCGUAGAUAUUAGGAGGAACACCAGUGGCGAAGGCGGCUUUCUGGACGAUAACUGACGCUGAGGCGCGAAAGCGUGGGGAGCAAACAGGAUUAGAUACCCUGGUAGUCCACGCUGUAAACGAUGGAUACUAGGUGUAGGAGGUAUCGACCCCUUCUGUGCCGCAGUUAACACAAUAAGUAUCCCACCUGGGGAGUACGGCCGCAAGGUUGAA
rnacentral:rRNA from 1 species